rnacentral:rRNA from 1 species
UACGUAGGUGGCAAGCGUUGUCCGGAUUUACUGGGCGUAAAGAGCGCGCAGGCGGUCGUUUCAAGUCGAGUGUGAAAGCCCCCGGCUCAACUGGGGAGGGUCACUCGAUACUGAUCGACUCGAAGGCAGGAGAGGGUAGUGGAAUUCCCGGUGUAGUGGUGAAAUGCGUAGAUAUCGGGAGGAACACCAGUGGCGAAGGCGACUACCUGGCCUGUUCUUGACGCUGAGGCGCGAAAGCUAGGGGAGCAACGGGG